rnacentral:rRNA from 1 species
UACAGAGACUGCAAGCGUUAUUCGGAUUCACUGGGCGUAAAGGGUGCGCAGGCGGUUGUGUGUGUCAGGUGUGAAAGCCCGGGGCUUAACCCCGGAAUUGCGCCUGAAACUACAUGACUAGAGCAUUGGAGAGGGUAGCGGAAUUCACGGUGUAGCAGUGAAAUGCGUAGAUAUCGUGAGGAACACCAGAGGUGAAGGCGGCUACCUGGACAAUUGCUGACGCUCGAGGCACGGAAAGCGUGGGGAGCAAAAGGG